rnacentral:rRNA from 1 species
GGAGGACGGCGGGGCGAUAGCAGGUCUGUGAUGCCCUCAGACGCCCUGGCGCACGCGCGCUACACUGGCGGGGCCAGCCGGCGCCGCGAGGACGCGCGGAGCCCCCGCCGUGGCCGGGACGCGGGCUGGAACGCCCCCGCGCACCAGGAAUGUCUUGUGGCGCCCGCCCCCACCGCGCGCCGGACGCGUCCCUGCCCCUUGUACACACCGCCCGUCGCUCCUACCGACUGGGCGCGGCGGCGAGCGCCCCGGACGCGCGAAGGGCCGCGAGCCCCCGCGCCUGGAGGAAGGAGAAGUCGUAACAAGGUAUCCGUAGGUGAACCUGCGGAUGGAUCCCUC